GAUGAACGCUGGCGGCGUGCCUAACACAUGCAAGUCGAACGGCAAGACAGUGAGCGUGCUCCCCUACCGGUGGCGGGGGGCGGAUGGGUGACGCAUACAUCGCAUACCUCUAUGUCGUGGGUAAUAACGUGGAGCAACUUAUGCUAAUGCAUCAUAUGUCCAACGGGUGGGUUCAAUAGUUCUUGAGGCUUUGGCUGACUCUAUGAGCUGAUGCCGGAUUAGCUAGUUGGCGGGGUAACGGCUCACCAAGGCGACGAUGCGUAGCUGAUCUGAGAGGAUGAUCAGCCACACUGGAACUGAGACACGGUCCAGACUCCUACGGGAGGCAGCAGUGGGGAAUAUUGGACAAUGGGCGCAAGCCUGACCCAGCAACGCCGCGUGGGUGAAGAAGGUCUUCGGGUCGUAAAACCCUGUUAUUGGGGAAGAACAACUGCAGGAGAAACGAUGCCUGUUUUGACGGUACCUAAAGAAAAAGCACCGGCUAACUACGUG
rnacentral:rRNA from 1 species